rnacentral:rRNA from 1 species
GACGAACGCUGGCGGCGUGCCUAAUACAUGCAAGUCGAGCGAAGUUUUUCUGGUGCUUGCACCGGAAAAACUUAGCGGCGAACGUGUGAGUAACACGUAAAGAACCUGCCUCAUAGACUGGGACAACUAUUGGAAACGAUAGCUAAUACCGGAUAAUAGCAUUAACUGCAUGGUUGAUGUUUAAAAGUUGGUUUUGCUAACACUAUGAGAUGGCUUUGCGGUGCAUUAGCUAGUUGGUGGGGUAAAGGCCUACCAAGGCGACGAUGCAUAGCCGACCUGAGAGGGUGAUCGGCCACACUGGGACUGAGACACGGCCCAGACUCCUACGGGAGGCAGCAGUAGGGAAUCUUCCGCAAUGGGCGAAAGCCUGACGGAGCAACGCCGCGUGAGUGAAGAAGGAUUUCGGUUCGUAAAGCUCUGUUGUUAGGGAAGAAUGAUUGUGUAGUAACUAUACACAGUAGAGACGGUACCUAACCAGAAAGCCACGGCUAACUACGUG